GAAAUGUCAAAUUUAGUCCCCUAAAUGAGUAAACAAUAAUAAAAUAAAUAACCAAGUCAAAAUUGGACUAAACAAUUGCUAAAUUAGUUUACACAUUAAUUCCCUCAUUUUCUCUUUGGCUUCUUUGAUUGUUUUCCCUUCUUAUUAACUCCCAAGUAUUUAUGAACCUCUUGAUCGUCACCAUCAUCUCCACCACCUCUGUGUUUCCUUUUCCCACCAGUUUCUUUGAUUUUCAUCAAUGAGAUCCUUUUGGCUUCUGUGACACGCUCCAAGAGUAGCAAAACCUCCUCUUCCUCUGCGGGAUACUCGGGUAGUUUCUUCCCAAUAAGCUUUUCUAUCUGUAUAUACCACUCCAACUCAUACUGAUUUACUAAUGAUAUGGCAACCCCGGAACGUCCUGCUCGUGCAGUUCUUCCCACUCUAUGUAUAUAAUCCUUUGAGUUUGUUGGAAUAUCAUAGUUGAUAACCAUAUCAACAGACGGUAUAUCAAGUCCUCGACUGGCCACAUCAGUGCAUAUAAGGAUAUUGCACUCUCCGGCCUUAAAUUUGUUUAGAGCUCCAAGCCUUUUAUCCUGAGUCAUCUGACCACUAAUUGGUAUGGCUCUCAAGCCUAGGUUGCGAAGCAUCAAAGCCAGAAGACGAGUUGCAUCACAUGUGCGAGUGAAAACCAUAGAUGUACUGCCAGACAUCUCAGUCAGAAUAUAGAUAAGAUAGCAGUCCUUAUAUUUAGCAGGAAGAAAACGAUACUGCUGCUUCAGUGUAUCAACGGUGGAAUAUUUAGAUGCAGCUUCAAUCUUAACAGGAUUUCUCAAACAAGCCCUCUGAAGUUUCCGCACCUUUUUGGUCAUUGUAGCAGAAAAGAGAUAAGUCCUUCGUUCAUGGGGAAUAGCAUUCAAAAUCUGAUCGAGGGCCUUCUCAAAAUCCUCAUUUAGCAACCUGUCCGCCUCAUCUAAUACCAAGUACUUUAUCGUACGGAGAGAAAACCCUUUGGUAUUGGAAAGAUGAUCCAAGAGGCGACCAGGUGUUGCAACAACAAUGUGAGGUCGUUUCCCGAGGGCAAUGCUCUGUUGUACUUGAUCUAUCCCUCCAACCAGCACUGC
rnacentral:misc_RNA from 1 species